rnacentral:tRNA from 1 species
GAUGCUGUAGCUCAGCUGGAUAGAGUACAAGAUUGCGGAUCUUGUGGUCGGACGUUCGAAUCGUCUCAGCAUCA